rnacentral:ribozyme from 1 species
UUUUUUUUUUUUUUUUUUUGACGACUCGCGCAUGAUGACUCGAGUGAAACGGGGGGGAAGGUUGAAGCAGAGAAGAAGCAAGAACAGAAGAAGCAAGAAAAUGAA